GGAUUAGAUACCCUGGUAGUCCACGCCGUAAACGAUGAGUGCUAGUUGUUGGGGGGCUUGCCCUUCGGUGACGUAGCUAACGCGUUAAGCACUCCGCCUGGGGAGUACGGUCGCAAGAUUAAAACUCAAAGGAAUUGACGGGGGCCCGCACAAGCGGUGGAGCAUGUGGUUUAAUUCGACGCAACGCGAAGAACCUUACCAGCUCUUGACAUGCUAGGUUUCGGGAUCGAGAGAUCGAUCCUUUCAGUUCGGCUGGGCCUAGUACAGGUGCUGCAUGGCUGUCGUCAGCUCGUGCCG
rnacentral:rRNA from 1 species